rnacentral:rRNA from 1 species
AGAGUUUGAUCCUGGCUCAGAAUGAACGCUGGCGGCGUGCUUAACACAUGCAAGUCGAACGAGAAAGCUUUAGCUUGCUAAAGCGAGUAAAGUGGCGCACGGGUGAGUAACGCGUGGGUAAUCUACCCUUGGAUUGGGGAUAACAUUGCGAAAGUGAUGCUAAUACCGGAUGACAUUCUAUUUACGUAGGUAAAUAGAAUCAAAGAUGGCCUCUUAACAAAGCUAUUGUCUGGGGAUGAGCCCGCGUACCAUUAGCUAGUUGGUAAGGUAAAAGCUUACCAAGGCAACGAGGGUUAGCUGGUCUGAGAGGAUGAUCAGCCACACUGGAACUGACACACGGUCCAGACUCCUACGGGAGGCAGCAGUGAGGAAUUUUGCGCAAUGGGGGAGACCCUGACGCAGCAACGCCGCGUGAGUGAUGAAGGUUUUCGGAUCGUAAAGCUCUGUCGAGUGGGAAGAAAGUGCAAGUGACCAAUACUCAUUAGUACUGACGGUACCACAGAAGGAAGCACCGGCUAACUCCGUGCCAGCAGCCGCGGUAAUACGGGGGGUGCAAGCGUUAUUCGGAUUAUUGGGCGUAAAGAGCGCGUAGGCGGUUUAUUAAGUCAGAUGUGAAAGCCCGGGGCUUAACCUCGGAAGUGCAUUUGAAACUGGUAGGCUUGAGUAUGGGAGAGGGAAGUGGAAUUCCUGGUGUAGAGGUGAAAUUCGUAGAUAUCAGGAGGAACACCGGUGGCGAAGGCGACUUCCUGGACCAAUACUGACGCUGAGGCGCGAAGGCGUGGGUAGCAAACAGGAUUAGAUACCCUGGUAGUCCACGCAGUAAACGGUGAUCACUAGGUGUAGAGGGUAUUGAAUCCUUCUGUGCCGGAGUUAACGCAUUAAGUGAUCCGCCUGGGGAGUACGACCGCAAGGUUAAAACUCAAAGGAAUUGACGGGGGCCAGCACAAGCGGUGGAGCAUGUGGUUUAAUUCGACAACGCGAAGAACCUUACCUGGGUUUGACAUCUUAGGAAUCCUUUUGAAAGAGAGGAGUGCCUUUCGGGGAGCCUAAAGACAGGUGCUGCAUGGCUGUCGUCAGCUCGUGUCGUGAGAUGUUGGGUUAAGUCCCGCAACGAGCGCAACCCCUAUCUUUAGUUGCCAGCAUUCAGUUGGGGACUCUAGAGAUACUGCCCAGGUUAACGGGGAGGAAGGUGGGGAUGACGUCAAGUCCUCAUGGCCUUUAUAUCCAGGGCUACACACGUGCUACAAUGGACUGUACAAAGGGCAGCGAGCUCGCGAGGGUAAGCGAAUCCCAUAAAGCAGUUCUCAGUUCGGAUUGGAGUCUGCAACUCGACUCCAUGAAGUUGGAAUCGCUAGUAAUCGUGGAUCAGCAUGCCACGGUGAAUAUGUUCCCGGGCCUUGUACACACCGCCCGUCACACCAUGAGAGUUGGUUGUACCAGAAGUUGUUGGGCCAACCCUUCGGGGAGGCAGGCACCUAAGGUAUGGCUGAUGAUUGGGGUGAAGUCGUAACAAGGUA